AGCGAACGCUGGCGGCAUGCCUAACACAUGCAAGUCGCACGGGGGGGCGUCGGCCUCCCAGUGGCGGACGGGGGAGGAACGCGGAGGGACCCGUCGAGGGGAGGUGGAUAACCGCGGGAAACAGCGGCGAAUACCGCAUGACGCCGCGGCGUGACAGCCGGGGCCAAAGGCGAAAGCCGACCGCCGAGGGGCCUGCGUCCGAUUAGCAGGGUGGCGGGGUAGCUGCCCACCAAGGCGUCGAACGGUAGCUGGUCUGAGAGGGUGAUCCGCCACCCCGGGACUGAGCCACGGCCCGGACUCCUACGGGAGGCAGCAGUGGGGAAUAUUGGACCAUGGGCGCAAGCCUGAUCCAGCACUGCCGCGUGGGUGAAGAAGGUCUUCGGAUUGUAAAGCCCUUUCGGCGGGGACGAUGGUGACGGUACCCGCAGAAGAAGCCCCGGCUAACUUCGUG
rnacentral:rRNA from 1 species